AACGUAGGACACGAGCGUUAUCCGGAGUUACUGGGCGUAAAGGGCGUUUAGGCGGGUGAUUAAGUUCGCUAUGAAAGCGCCAGGCUAAACCUGGCGAGGCUGGCGGAUACUGGUCAUCUGGAGUAAGGAAGAGGGAGGUAGAAUUCCGCGUGUAGUGGUGAAAUGCGUAGAGAUGCGGAGGAAUACCAGUGGCGAAGGCGGCUUUCUGGUCUGCUCUUGACGCUGAGGCGCGAAAGCUAGGGUAGCAAACGGG
rnacentral:rRNA from 1 species